rnacentral:rRNA from 1 species
UGCGCAGGCGGAACUUUAAGUCAGUGGUGAAAUCUUGCCGCUUAACGGUAAAAUUGCCAUUGAUACUGAAGUUCUUGAAUAUGGUUGAGGUAGGUGGAAUGUGUUGUGUAGCGGUGAAAUGCAUAGAUAUGACACAGAACGCCGAUUGCGAAGGCAGCUUACUAAGCCAUUAUUGACGCUGAGGCACGAAAGCGUGGGGAGCGAACAGGAUUAGAUACCCUGGUAGUCC